rnacentral:rRNA from 1 species
AGCCGCCGCGGUAAUACGAAGGGACCUAGCGUAGUUCGGAAUUACUGGGCUUAAAGAGUUCGUAGGUGGUUGAAAAAGUUGGUGGUGAAAUCCCAGAGCUUAACUCUGGAACUGCCAUCAAAACUUUUCAGCUAGAGUAUGAUAGAGGAAAGCAGAAUUUCUAGUGUAGAGGUGAAAUUCGUAGAUAUUAGAAAGAAUACCAAUUGCGAAGGCAGCUUUCUGGAUCAUUACUGACACUGAGGAACGAAAGCAUGGGUAGCGAAGAGGAUUAGAUACCCUCGUAGCCCAUGCCGUAAACGAUGUGUGUUAGACGUUGGAAAUUUAUUUUCAGUGUCGCAGCGAAAGCGAUAAACACACCGCCUGGGGAGUACGACCGCAAGGUUAAAACUCAAAUGAAUUGACGGGGACCCGCACAAGUAGUGGAGCAUGUGGUUUAAUUCGAAGAUACGCGCAGAACCUUACCAACACUUGACAUGUUCGUCGCGACUCUGAGAGAUUAGAGUUUUCGGUUCGGCCGGACGAAACACAGGUGCUGCAUGGCUGUCGUCAGCUCGUGUCGUGAGAUGUUGGGUUAAGUCCCGCAACGAGCGCAACCCUCACUUUUAGUUGCCAUCAUUUAGUUGGGCACUCUGAAAGAACUGCCAGUGAUAAGCUGGAGGAAGGUGGGGAUGACGUCAAGUCCUCAUGGCCCUUACGUGUUGGGCUACACACGUGCUACAAUGGCAUCUACAAUAGGAAGCAAGAUGGCAACAUCAAGCAAAUCCUAAAAAGAUGCCUCAGUUCGGAUUGCACUCUGCAACUCGAGUGCAUGAAGCUGGAAUUACUAGUAAUCGCGGAUCAGCGCGCCGCGGUGAAUACGUUCCCGGGUCUUGUACACACCGCCCGUCACACCAUGGGAGUUGGUUCUACCUUAAGGCAAAGCCUAAAAACUUUGACCACGGUAUAGUCAGCGACUGGGGUGAAGUCGUAACAAGGUAGCCG